rnacentral:rRNA from 1 species
AAAUAGAGCGGGGAAGAGUAGCUUGCUACUUGACCUAGCGGCGGACGGGUGAGUAAUGCUUAGGAAUCUGCCUAUUAGUGGGGGACAACAUCUCGAAAGGGAUGCUAAUACCGCAUACGUCCUACGGGAGAAAGCAGGGGACCUUCGGGCCUUGCGCUAAUAGAUGAGCCUAAGUCGGAUUAGCUAGUUGGUGGGGUAAAGGCCUACCAAGGCGACGAUCUGUAGCGGGUCUGAGAGGAUGAUCCGCCACACUGGGACUGAGACACGGCCCAGACUCCUACGGGAGGCAGCAGUGGGGAAUAUUGGACAAUGGGGGGAACCCUGAUCCAGCCAUGCCGCGUGUGUGAAGAAGGCCUUUUGGUUGUAAAGCACUUUAAGCGAGGAGGAGGCUACCGAGAUUAAUACUCUUGGAUAGUGGACGUUACUCGCAGAAUAAGCACCGGCUAACUCUGUGCCAGCAGCCGCGGUAAUACAGAGGGUGCAAGCGUUAAUCGGAUUUACUGGGCGUAAAGCGCGCGUAGGUGGCCAAUUAGGUCAAAUGUGAAAUCCCCGAGCUUAACUUGGGAAUUGCAUUCGAUACUGGUUGGCUAGAGUAUGGGAGAGGAUGGUAGAAUUCCAGGUGUAGCGGUGAAAUGCGUAGAGAUCUGGAGGAAUACCGAUGGCGAAGGCAGCCAUCUGGCCUAAUACUGACACUGAGGUGCGAAAGCAUGGGGAGCAAACAGGAUUAGAUACCCUGGUAGUCCAUGCCGUAAACGAUGUCUACUAGCCGUUGGGGCCUUUGAGGCUUUAGUGGCGCAGCUAACGCGAUAAGUAGACCGCCUGGGGAGUAC